GCUAGUGGGGGCUUAUCCAUCAGCAAAACUUGGGAGACGUUGUCGGAGGUCGGAAGUCGGAAGUCGGUUGGAUCCCCGGAGGGUCACUCCUGUCACGAACUUCGGCUGGGGGUAUUUUAUACCCAACAACCUGAAUGUCUCUACCAUAGUUCUAUUAGGAGAAAAGGUGAAUCCUAUAGUAUGUCGAUCCCAAUAGAUAGAUUAGAUUUAGGGAAGACUAUCCAAGUGCCAACAAUCUAAGAAUCUACCUUCGGGUGGGAUAAUUUGCAUCGACUAUAGGGUUUCUCAGAGUUUAGAAGGUGGACUCCUAGAGUGUAUAGGAUUCUAGAAGACAAGCCGUCUGAUUUUUAGUGGUCUGCAAGUAAAGACUGUAAUUUCUUCUAAUCCACAAACGAAAUAGCCCUC
rnacentral:lncRNA from 1 species